rnacentral:rRNA from 1 species
CUAGGGACGGGCCCGCGUCCCAUCAGCUAGUUGGUAGGGUAACGGCCUACCAAGGCAGUGACGGGUAGCUGGUCUGAGAGGAUGAUCAGCCACACUGGGACUGGAACACGGCCCAGACUCCUACGGGAGGCAGCAGUGAGGAAUUUUGGACAAUGGGCGAAAGCCUGAUCCAGCAACGCCGCGUGAGUGAUGAAGGCCCUCGGGUUGUAAAGCUCUUUCAGGGGGGAUGAGAAAGGACGGUACCCCCACAAGAAGCACCGGCUAACUCCGUGCCAGCAGCCGCGGUAAUACGGAGGGUGCGAGCGUUGUCCGGAAUCACUGGGCGUAAAGCAGGUGCAGGCGGCCUGUUGUGUCGGGUGUGAAAUCCCGUGGCUCAACCACGGAACUGCGCCCGAAACUGAUGGGCUUGAGUGCGAGAGGGGAUGGUGGAAUUCUCGGUGUAGAGGUGAAAUUCGUAGAUAUCGAGAGGAAUACCGGUGGCGAAGGCGACCAUCUGGCUCGUUUCUGACGCUCAGACCUGAAAGCGUGGGUAGCAAACAGAAUUAGAUACUCUGGUAGUCCACGCAGUAAACGAUGGAUACUAGGUGUUGGGGGUGUCGAUUCCCUCAGUGCCGAAGUUAACGCAUUA